GGGGGGGGCUGGGGGUGGGGCGAACAGGUGCAGGUCGGGCGGGGGCGCAGUAAGGGCUUGCUCUUGGGGGUGGCGGGUGGGGGACGGGUGAGGACUACCUCGGAGUGUAGUUUUUCGGGGGGGGUACCGUGGGGAACCUUACGCUCAUACCGCAUACGACCUACGGUUGGAAGCAGGGGAGCUUCGGACCUUGCGCGGUUGAAUGAGCCGAUGUCGGAUUAGCUAUUUGGCGUGGUAAAGGCCCAACAAGGCGACGAUCCGUAGCUGGUCUGAGAGGAUGAUCACCCACACUGGAACUGAGACACGGUCCAGAAUCCUACGGGAGGCAGCAGUGGGGAAUAUUGGACAAUGGGCGCAAGCCUGAUCCAGCCAUACCGCGUGGGUGAAGAAGGCCUUCGGGCUGUAAAGCCCUUUUGUUGGGAAAGAAAAGCAGCAGGUUAAUACCCCGCUGUUCUGACGGUACCCAAAGAAUAAGCACCGGCUAACUUCGUG
rnacentral:rRNA from 1 species